UAUUUAGAAUGGCACUGAUGUGA
rnacentral:miRNA from 1 species